ensembl:lncRNA
AUAAUAUUGUUGAAAAGUUGUAUUUUGUGAAAAUGUGGCAGAAACAAACUGUAACACAGUACAACUCUAUUUGUAGCUAACAUUUCAUCUUUGAUAGCCACUUAAGAACCCAUCAUGGAAAAUCUAUAUAUUGGCAGCUGUGAAUGGUGGUUGCUGUUGUUGUUGUUGUUGUUGUUGUUGUGUGGGCGGAAGCUGAGAUGAGAUAUCGGGCAUGAUUCAUCCCUGCCCCGUCUUCUCCUCUCAGACAGAAAAUAAUGGGAUCCGACCACACGUUGAGGGAAUUUGACGCCCAAUCUUUCGGGCACCAAACACUGUCCUUUCUCUCUCUGCUCCAACAAACAAAUCAAUAAAUGCACUUCACUCAUUGUUAUAAAUGCAUUUUAGCCAUGAGGAAACACGCAAAAGCAUCCGGUGGAAUCGGACUACAUGGUGCUCAAAUGUAUGAGGCGGAAUAGUCUUUUCCUGUCAUCUCUCGACUCAGCGCCCCCCCCUCAUCUGCCUCUUCGGGAUGCGCCGCUGCCGCUGAGGAGAGCUUAAGAAACGCGGCAGCGUUUUGGGAGAAGAACACAACAUCCACACACUGAUCAUUGCCCGUAGAAACCUCCAAUAAGUGAGCCAAAGUAGAAACAUGUUCCCAGAGCCUCCCUCAAAGUGUCGGCGUCUCUGCCCACGCCGAUGACUCGUCCUUCCUUCUGAGACAGCGAAGAUUUUCCACAUGCUGAUGGUUUGAAGGACUGAGACUGGAGGAAACACGGCUGUAUGAGGGGAUCUCGACUUCCCCGCCUACUGCCUCGCAGAGAUAGUAGCUGUGCAUAAUUAUGUAGCAUCAUCCAACGCGGCGCUGAAGCGAUGUGAAGUGGCCUCCUCACUCCGUCCGAAGCCGUAGCUGAAUCCAAUUAAGUCGCACAAAGGGGACGGCAGACAGCAGAACUACCGCUUCCCAACAACUGGAUUGUAAUUUUCCCGUCACCGCGGUGGAAUCGUAGCAGUAAUGUAGCCACAGAGCUACAAUUACACCCGACGGAGAGCACAAACGGGCAAAAGACGGCGACGGGAGGGCAAGGAGCGUAGAGAGAGAUUCGGCGCUGCAGUCUGUGAAAGACCUGAUUGUUGGGGCCCCCACAAGCACUCCGGUCUCACUCGGAAAGGACAAAUGAGUCGUGGGUAAUGGAGGAAUGAGCAGUGGCAGCGCUGUAAUCUCAGCAGCCGGCAGCAGCAUCCGCCAAAGCUCCGGGGGCAGAUAAGCAGGCGGGUCUUCUUCAUGGGCCGACGCAAUUUCAAUCAGUUCGGUCUCAUCAGUCACGGGUGGAAGUUGCCAGACGGGGGGGAUCAAAGCGUCCUGAGAGACCCCGGUUCUGUAGCAAGAAGGAGUUCCAAUGUUGGAAGAGGAAGAAGAGCCGGCAUGAGCUCCCUCGGCGGCGCGAGGGGUGAGCCUUUUAUUUGGUCCGUCCACUUUUAGCCCGGUCGGCAUUCCGACGGGAUUCUUCUAGGGUUUCCCCUGUGUUUUAAAAUAAAUUCACAUUUUGGGAAAUAUGCUUUUUUUUGCUUAUCUCUGUCCGUUCGAUAUAUGACGAUAUAAGUUGAUAGUGUCUUCAUCUGAUCACUAUUAAUACUGGGGUGAAGCCUCGGCUAACGAACACACAGCUGUUAUUUCCAGGGGCUUGUAUAGUAAAGGGC